rnacentral:rRNA from 1 species
AGUGAACGCUGGCGGCAUGCCUAACACAUGCAAGUCGAACGGCAGCACGGGAGGUUCUAGCUGUUAGCGGUUGGCGAUGGGGGGCGGGUUAGGUCUGAAUCGGAAUCUACUUUUUCGUGAGGGCUGACAAAGGGGAAUUUAUACUACAACCGCAUAACGCCUACAGGCGAAGGAACUGGAGCUUCGGCCCUUGCGGGAUGGCAUGUGCCGAUGUCGGAUUAGCUAGUUGGCGGGGUAAAGGCCCACCAAGGCGACGAUCAGUAGCUGGUCUGAGAGGAUGAUCAGCCACACUGGAACUGAGACACGGUCCAGACUCCUACGGGAGGCAGCAGUGGGGAAUAUUGGACAAUGGGCGCAAGCCUGAUCCAGCCAUGCCGCGUGUGUGAAGAAGGCCUUCGGGUUGUAAAGCCCUUUUGUUGGGAAAGAAAAGCUGCACGUUAAUACCCCGCGGGUCUGACGGUACCGAAAGAAUAAGCACCGGCUAACUUCGUG